CUUUUAAACUCUUCCUUAAGAGGCAAAAAAGUGUGUUGCUGUGUGUGUAUGUGAUUUAAUUAAAUUAAGAUUUUUUUUCUUUUCAGGGACCUUCCCAAAAUGUUAGAAGAAGGGUAGAAAAACAUUUGCAACUUGUGUUUCACUUGGUGAACGAGUCAGGAACUGUUUGUGCACAAAUAAUCCAACAUCAGCCUAAGUUUUUCGGCUGUGUUUUCGAAAGAACAAGAAAAGAUUUUGCUUCCAGUUCCUGCACAUUACAUUUCCUAUUCAGCACCACUUUCUUUUCAUUCUUUCUGUCAUUAAUCUGUUCAUUUUGGAAGAAUAAGUAAUUAAACAGUUUUGAAAAAUUUUUGUGUGCUUGUGUAUGUGUGAUAUGUUGUUGGAGCAUCUACAAGAGCAGUAAAAAUACUUGUCCAAACCCUUGCUAUGCAUGUCAUGAAUGUUUUGAAGGCAGGAAACCAUACAGUCCUAUUUUAAGAAAUUCUAUUUAUUUUUAAGUCAAAUAAAUUUUUUCCUCCUCUUUAAAGUACCUGACUUUAAAAGCAAGAGAAGUUUUACGGCAUUGAUUUAUAGAAAAAAACUACAACAACAAUGCUUCCAGUAGAUUGAGGUUUGAAUACCACAGCUCUUGGAGACAUAGAGAUCUAGGGCUUAAUUUUGAGUUAACUUAUGUUUUCACCUACUUAUUUGCUGACUUCUUAAACAUGUUAAUUUUUCAUGUAUUUCUAUUUCCUUCAGUAUAAUUACAUCAUCUCCUUAACCAGGAGAAUGGCUGUCUGCUCCUCAGAUCUGUAUCAUUAAUGAAGAUCUUUGUGUGUUGUGUUUCCUUGGUACAGAAAGCUUCAGGGCAGGAGUGACAGAAGAGAAAUGCCUACUUGGUUCCAGGCAAUACUAAGUUAUAUGGCAGCAUUUAAAAUAGAAGCAGAAUGCACCAGAUACUCAAGAAACAAAAUAAAUGAAGUGAGCAUCUGUUACAACACAUUUAGAGCAAAGAAAGACUUCUGCUGGGUAAGUGAUAAAGAGUAUAAAUAAGGCUGAUCUGCAGGAUGGCUUUCAAUGUUUUUCUUUGUCUAGAUUUGGGGUCUUCCUAUAUAUACAGGCAGGAUUUUUAGGGGGAGUAGCCAAUCAGCUAUCACCCCAUCACCUAUCCCACAACCCCCGGCAAAUUCUUACAUGACUUUGGUAGUCAUAUUCUGAUGUUUUCAGUCUUUCUCACUAGGUAUUUGAACUAGCUCAUACAGAGUAAGUCCUGAAUCAACACUCUCAAUUAUACCUCUUUCCAAAAUCACACAAGUUAUAAAAGCAGUGAUGUGGACUGACGUCCUGGCAGCAAGCUGUGCAAGUUGAAGCGGAAUCUGAUUGAGAAGGUUAGCCCUGAGCUAACAUCUGUGCCAAUCUUCCUCCAUUUUGUUUGUGGGAUGCCUCCACAGCAUGGGUGAUGAGCAGAGCAAGUCCACACCUGGGAUCCAAACCUGUGAAUCUGGGCUGCUGAAGCCAAGAGCACAGACCUUUAACCACUCAGCCAUGGGGCCAGCUCCUGUUUUUCAUUAUUAUUGAGACUGAGGGGUGGGAGUUCUCAAUAUAUUCUGGAUAAAACUCCUUUGUAGGAUACAUGUAUUAAAAGUAUUUCAGUUUGUG
rnacentral:lncRNA from 1 species